GCAGGCAUUCCUUGGCCUGGUGGCCAGAUUUCUGGCACUUGUAGCAAGCUCCUGGGGGAGGAGGUUCUGGAGGAACGCCUGGCUGCUGCAGUUCAGGCAUUUGGAAGUUCUUGUGUGCUGGAGAUGUGGCUGGGAUUCGUCUCACAGUGGAGCCGAAGGGAAUUUCCAAGAGAGAGGAUGGUGGUGCAGUGCAUAUUGCAACCCCGGAUCAGCCAGAAGUCCGUGGAUUUGGGAAAGCACAUGUAACAAUGUCGUCCAGGGUACACUGCAAGGAACACAGGCUUAGAGUCACAAGGGUCUGUGCUUGAACCCAGGUCUGUUAUUUGCUACUUAUGUCCUUGGAAAUGAUUUAAUAUUGUUAUGAUUCAAUCUCUUUAUUUCUUACAUGGAUUUAAUAACAUCUACCCCAUAGUUUAACAUUUAAAUUAGAUAAUGCAUAUGUAGUGGCUAGUGGUUAUUACAAUUAUUACUCUUCUGUUACUGCAAUCUCACAGGAAGGUAAGGACCUUGACAAGAGAUGAAGGUCUGUUAUCACAAGAAGAGCAAGAAACAAACCAGCUGACUUCCGAAGCAUUUUUUAAAGUCCAGCAUCAAACUCUCGGGAGUGUGAGCAAAAAGUGGGACUGGCAUGGGAUCAGUUUUCUGCAAGUACCCUAAUCCUGUGAGUGCCCAGGCCACUUAGAUCUCUGACCUAGUGAACAUUUAGUGCUUAAUCACCCUCAAAAUAUACUAUUUUAUCCUUGAAGUGGGAUUGUCUUGGGCUUAUGCGAUGAGCCACACUGGAGACAAAAUAGACCAGUUCUGGAUCUCUGGAGGACUAAGAGAGGUCUGUGCUUUUUACCGUAUUUAACUGAGCUCCUGAUAAGAUUGCUUUCCUGGGAUUACAGAAUGGAAACUUGAGGUAUUCAUCUGAUCUCUUUCCCCUCAGCAUGCUCAACUCCAUUAACGACUAAAGAAGCACUUUCCUAGCACAUUUAAUGGGCUUGGGCUCAUAAAGAAUCAUUCCAGGUUCUCACGAUGCCCGGCUGGCCGAGGUGUUAAAGUACAGAAAACUUUAAGUCUGGAGAGGUUUAGAAGCUCAUCUUGGCACCUCAUUUUUAAGCGGGGGCUAAUUUUACCCAGAGGCCGGCCACAAGCACGAAUUUCUUCAGAUUUGGAACUUUGGGGAGAUACUUUAUGUAAAGUGUGGCUGUUGGGUUGCUGCAGCUGUGUUUGAAAAAAGUACGGGGGGUGGGAGGGGGAGAUUGAGGCCUACAGAAGUAGGAGAUUCUGUAGUUAGUCAAGCAUCAGAACCCAGGUGUUCAGAUAUGACUAGUUUUGGCAAUGUCAGGAAGAAAGGACUGGACAGGGGAAAGGAGAUUUGCAGCUAAAAAGUUAGUGCUGAGUUUGUUGGCAAACUUGCCUCUAGAAUUUUUUUUAGAAAGUGAUUUCUAAAAUAUUAUUAUAUAAGUGAAUUAGUUUCUAUUUCUGUGUAAUACAUGAAUCCAAAACUAAGCAGUUUAAAACAACAAAGAAUGAUUAUCUCCCAGUUUCUAUGGGACUGGAAUCUGAGCAUGGCUUAGGUAGAUGCCUCUGGCUCAAGAUGUCUCACAAGACUGCAAUUAAGAAGUCAGCAGGGGCUGUGGUCUCAUCUGAAGGCUCACCUUGGGAAGGACCUACUUGCAACCUCAUCCAUGUGGUUCUUGGCAAGAUUCAGUUCCUCGUGGGCUAUUGGACUAAGGGUCUCAUUGCCUUGCUGGCUGUUGUCCAGGGGACCCUACAGUUCUUUGUCAUGGAGGCCUCUUCACAGGGCAGCUUGCAACAUGGCAGUGGGCUUCCCUCAAAGCAAGUGAGAAGGCAAGAGAGAGUGCACAGCCUUUUUAUAUACUAAUAUCAAAAGUGACAUCCCAUCAACUCUACUGCAUUCUAUUCUCUAGAAGCAAGUCACUAAAUCAGCCCCCACUCAAGGGGAGGGAGGGUUACAAAGGCAUGCAUACCAGGAGGAGGGGAUCACUGGGGCCAUCUUGUAGACUGCCUACUGGACAUUUGUUUUGGGUAGAAAAUCAGGAAAACUCUGAAAUACUACACUUCAUAGGCAACUUUACCAUGAAGAUCUUAACUAAUUACACACCUUCUUGUGCCUUUUUUCUAUACACAUAUGUAUUUUUUAAAAGAUUUCAAACUAUAUAUACUAUGAUUGCCUGCACUGUUAACUCAGAAAUAUUUCAUGUAUUGGUGUCAAUAAACCUUGUUCUACUAUAUCACUUUUAACGGCUUAUUUCAUCAUGUAUUUCAUCAUAUGAACUUAUUCCACAAAUGACUCAGCCACCCUUGCUCCAGCUCUGCAUUUAAUUUUGUCAAAUUAAUGUCACAAUCAUGAAAAAUUGUGCCAGGCAUUUAAUGUGCUAAAGUGCAGCAAAUCUCAGCAAGCUCUGUGCCUUCUGGCCUGUCCCUGGGGCUCAGCCUGUAGGUCUCUAACAUGAGAGGUUCGAAUAGAUGGCCACUAAGGUCCCUUUAGAGACCAGAAAGCCUGUCCCCUGGGAGUGGUGAUUCCUCAGAGAUGCUACCCAACCCACUGGGGCCAGGAGUUUAGCAGCUGUCUAGGAUGCCUUUGUUGAUUUUGAGACCUCUGAAUCCUUCUAUGUCUGUGUAAAUAUAUACAACUUGCUUGAAUGUAUUUA
rnacentral:lncRNA from 1 species